GAAACUUAAGAAAAAUUUGUUGUCUAUUAAUAAUAAGUCGUAGCUAAUAAAACAUUAGCUAAAGGUAGCAAAUAAUAAACUUUAAAAAUGCAAUGUUGUGCCUCUGAGCACUGAAUAUUCUUAAGGUUAAAGGGUUUCCAGUGUUUGCUCUACAGUUAGUUUGUUGUGGUCUGGGUGGUCAGUGUGGUCAGGGUGAUCUGGGUGGUCAGGGUGAUCUGGGUGAUCUGGGUGGUCAGGGUGAUCUGGGUGGUCUGGGUGAUCUGGGUGAUCUGGGUGGUCAGUGUGGUCUGGGUGGUCAGGGUGAUCUGGGUGAUCUGGGUGGUCAGAAUGAUCUGGGUGGUCAGGGUGGUCUGGGUGGUCAGUGCGUUUAGUGUGGUCAGGGUGAUCUGUAUGGUCAGGUGGUCUGGGUGGUCAGUGUGAUCUGGGUGGUCAAGGAAUAGUUUGCUAAACGUUGCUUGUUCUUGCA
ensembl:lncRNA